CCUACGGGUGGCUGCAGUGGGGAAUAUUGGACAAUGUGGGGAACCCUGAUCCAGCCAUGCCGCGUGUGUGAAGAAGGCCCUCGGGUUGUAAAGCACUUUCAGUGAGGAAGAACGCCUGGUGGUUAAUACCCAUCAGGAAAGACAUCACUCACAGAAGAAGCACCGGCUAACUCCGUGCCAGCAGCCGCGGUAAUACGGAGGGUGCGAGCGUUAAUCGGAAUUACUGGGCGUAAAGCGCGCGUAGGUGGCUUGAUAAGCCGGUUGUGAAAGCCCCGGGCUCAACCUGGGAACGGCAUCCGGAACUGUCAAGCUAGAGUGCAGGAGAGGAAGGUAGAAUUCCCGGUGUAGCGGUGAAAUGCGUAGAGAUCGGGAGGAAUACCAGUGGCGAAGGCGGCCUUCUGGACUGACACUGACACUGAGGUGCGAAAGCGUGGGUAGCAAACAGGAUUAGAUACCCCUGUAGUC
rnacentral:rRNA from 1 species